AUUGCUUCUCAGCCUUUUGGCUAAGAUCAAGUGUAGUAGCAGAAGCAUUAAGGACAUUUAUGAUCAUAACAGUUUUCAAUCUGUGGGCAAUUUGAUAUUUUACCUUCAGCUGAACUUUC
ensembl:snRNA U2 U2 spliceosomal RNA